rnacentral:rRNA from 1 species
AUUGAACGCUGGCGGCAUGCUUUACACAUGCAAGUCGAACGGUAACAGGGUGCUUGCACCGCUGACGAGUGGCGAACGGGUGAGUAAUGCGUCGGAACGUGCCGAGUAGUGGGGGAUAACGCAGCGAAAGUUGUGCUAAUACCGCAUACGUACUGAGGUAGAAAGUGGGGGACCUUCGGGCCUUCCGCUAUUCGAGCGGCCGACGUCUGAUUAGCUAGUAGGUGAGGUAAAGGCUCACCUAGGCGACGAUCAGUAGCGGGUCUGUGAGGAUGAUCCGCCACACUGGGACUGAGACACGGCCCAGACUCCUACGGGAGGCAGCAGUGGGGAAUUUUGGACAAUGGGCGAAAGCCUGAUCCAGCCAUGCCGCGUGUCUGAAGAAGGCCUUCGGGUUGUAAAGGACUUUUGUCAGGGAGGAAAUCCCUAGUGCUAAUAACACUGGGGGAUGACAGUACCUGAAGAAUAAGCACCGGCUAACUACGUGCCAGCCGCCGCCGUAAGAC